AAGUCGUAACAAGGUUUCCGUAGGUGAACCUGCGGAAGGAUCAUUAUUGAAAAGGGAACCCUUCGGGGUUCAACCUUCAACCCCAUGUUUUAACUACCUGUUUCUUUGGCGGGUUCGCCCGUCAGAAGUUUUCUCAAACCGUUUUAAAUGUGUCAUCUGAAUCCCAUAAUAAAUAAAUUAAAACUUUCAACAACGGAUCUCUUGGUUCUGGCAUCGAUGAAGAACGCAGCGAAAUGCGAUAAGUAAUGUGAAUUGCAGAAUUCAGUGAAUCAUCGAAUCUUUGAACGCAUAUUGCGCCCUUUGGUAUUCCGAAGGGCAUACCUGUUCGAGCGUCAUUACACCCCUCAAAUCUUAUAUUUGGUGUUGGGCCUUGCCUUUGGGCAUGCCUAAAAAUCAGUGAUGGACGUUUAACCACAAACGCACUCCUGUGUUAUGCUGGUGAAGACGUUUGUCUCCAGGUUAAAGACCCCUCUUUAACAAUCUUUGUUGACCUCGGAUCAGGUAGGAAUACCCGCUGAACUUAAGCAUAUCAAUAAGCGGAGGAAAAGAAACCAACAGGGAUUGCCUCAGUAACGGCGAGUGAAGCGGCAACAGCUCAAAUUUGAAAUCUGACCUUUUGGGUCCGAGUUGUAAUUUGUAGAGGAUGUUUCGGGUAAGGUCUAGGUCUAAGUUCCUUGGAACAGGACGUCAUAGAGGGUGAGAAUCCCGUACGUGGCCGAGGACCGCACCCAUGUGAAACUCCUUCGACGAGUCGAGUUGUUUGGGAAUGCAGCUCAAAAUGGGUGGUAAAUUUCAUCUAAAGCUAAAUAUUGGCCAGAGACCGAUAGCGCACAAGUAGAGUGAUCGAAAGAUGAAAAGUACUUUGAAAAGAGAGUUAAACAGUAUGUGAAAUUGUUGAAAGGGAAGCGCUUGCAACCAGACUUGUCUGUAGGGUUCAGCCGUCGUUUUCGUCGGUGUAUUUCUCUGCUAUCAGGCCAGCAUCAGUUUGGGUGGAAGGUGAAAGGCCUUGGGAAUGUACCACCCUCUCGGGGGUGUCUUAUAGCCCUCGGUGUAAUGCUUCCUACCCGGACUGAGGAACGCGCUUCGGCUCGGAUGCUGGCGUAAUGGUUGUAAGCGACC
rnacentral:rRNA from 1 species